rnacentral:rRNA from 1 species
GACGAGGGGUCCUAGCGUUGUUCGGAAUCAUUGGGCGUAAAGCGUAUGUAGGCGGCUUUUCAAGUCAGGUGUGAAAUCCCAUGGCUUAACCAUGGAACUGCAUUUGAAACUGUAAAGCUUGAGUAUUGGAGAGGAUGGUAGAAUUCCUGGUGUAGUGGUGAAAUACGUAGAUAUCAGGAGGAAUACCGGUGGCGAAGGCGGCCAUCUGGCCAAAUACUGACGCUGAGAUACGAAAGUGUGGGGAGCAAACAGG